GAGCUACUGUAGGGAGGCAGCUACCGCCGCCAAUGAGCAGGGUGUGGGCACAGGAGCCCACCGGGCUCAACUCAAGUACAGCAGAGAAUGAAAAUGGAGCGAUAGAAUACAAAGAAACAGAAAAAGGAAAAUGGAGGGAUAGAGAAAUGUGAAAGAUGUCGGGAGAGAUUGUUGAUCUUUUGGCGCCUUUGGUGUGAAAUCCAUGAGAGAUAACCAGCAGAUGCCAUCAGUGAGACUCUGGACCCCAGUGCAUCUACAUCACGUCCUCCGGGAUGCCUGCUGAGCUGUUCUGUCUUUGGCAGCGGUGCAGAAAUCUCCAAAUCUCCGUAUAAGGAGACGUAGAAGGACUUGAGGGAGCAAAAAAAAAAGACAUCUAACGGAAAAAGUUGGGAAUUCUAAAUUCUUAAGUAUUAUAUAAGUUCAAUUUUAUGCAGUUUGCAGAGAAUAAUGACAAAAAAACAUGAUAAACCUUUUUUUUUUUUCAUUCUACCUGAAUUCUAUGUCCAUACUAUGUUCCAGACUGUGAAAUACAAUACUUAAAACAGCAGACAAAAGAUCUAUAACCAACAUUUAUACACUACACAUUUGUAUGCCAGAUGCACCACUUGCCAUCACUGCUAAAGGACAUAUUUCAUUUCUCUCCUGUUAUGAUUUGAAAUAUGAAUACUGUAAGCAUUAUAUAAUGGUCCUGAGAGAAUGACUAUAUUUCUUCUCCUUAGAGAAUACUGGGGGAAGUAGGAGACCUUGUUGUGCAAAUGCUCCAAUACUGUUAGUUUUAGUGUGUAAACGUUUUAUCAUUGCGUCUGUGCUGUCUUUGCCAUAGUCCACCAGGCUCCAUCAUCGAGGCCACAUUUCAGCACGCAGAGUCUCUUGUCUGUCUGAACGUCUGCUGUUGUGACAGUGCCCAUCCGCUCAAUGGUGGUCUCCCGCCAAACGAGAAACCCAUUUGUAAUAACGAAAAGACUACCCUUUGGCUUUGCAUGCAGGAUUUGCUGAUGCACAGGGAUGGUGCUGUGUACUUGCCUUUUUUGUUUGUUUCUCGGGCAUCAUAUUUUAGAUUUGAUAAUAAUGUUAAUGAUGCAAGAUAUUUUGAAUAUAGCGGGGAAUCUUGCGUGACAAGAGGGAGUUUUGCUAAUGAACCAUAUUUUUGUUGUGAUUUUAUUAUUUAUGUAUUACUGCUUUGAAAAUAUUGAUUUCAUGUUUUUAUUAUUAUUAUUAUUAUUAUUGACCUGCUGUUUUAUUGACUUGUCACACAUUUGAAGCUCAUUGUUUACACAGUAUUCGUUUCAAGCUGUUCAACAUAACUUAAUGCUGAUAUAUCUAAAUUGGUAACUGUACAAUAAGUUGAAAUGAUUUCCUUCGGUUGUUUUUAUAAUAAAAGGUGAUAAACUGAA